UGACUAUGCGAAAGCCAUCUUAAGGAUUGCAAUAAAAUGAGCCAUUUGGACCACUUCGCACACAUAUGUGAAAAUUUCGUAUGUCUGUGCCAAAUAACAAAAAAAAUAAAAAAUAAAAAUAUGCAGCAAAUAUAAGCCUUUGUUUCAUUUUGCACCAUUAAGUGAAAACAAGCCCUCAUGCCAAAACUCUUCGUCUUCAUCGGACAUGAGAAAAUGAAAAGGUAGAAGACCAUCAGUCAUUUUUCCUUUUCAUCCACACUUUCUCAUAUCUCUUCCCUGCCC
rnacentral:lncRNA from 1 species